rfam:Equus caballus chromosome 19, whole genome shotgun sequence.
UCACUGGUGCUUUUCAGCACCAUCAUAUAGCAUUUUUAGCCAUUUU